GCCGCUGCCGGCGUCGCCGCACCAGCUCGGACGCACUGCCCCGCGGGGCCGCGGCUCCAGGAGCUGGGGCCUGGCAGGAGGUGACUGGAUCAUGGGGGCGCGUUUCCUCUGAGUACUGUUCUGGUGAUAGUGAGUGAGCUGUCGUCAUGAGAUCUGGUCGUGUAAAGGUGUGUGGCACCCCUCCCUUCUCCCUCUCUUCUGUUCUGGCCACGUAAGACAUGCCUGCCUCCCCUUCACCUUUUUCCAUAAUCAAUAAGUUUCC
rnacentral:lncRNA from 1 species